rnacentral:rRNA from 1 species
GAACGCUGGCGGCGUGCCUAACACAUGCAAGUCGAGCGAGUGGAUCUCCUUCGGGAGUGAAGCUAGCGGCGGACGGGUGAGUAACACGUGGGCAACCUGCCUCAUAGAGGGGAAUAGCCUUUCGAAAGGAAGAUUAAUACCGCAUAAGAUUGCAGCUUCGCAUGAAGUAGCAAUUAAAGGAGCAAUCCGCUAUGAGAUGGGCCCGCGGCGCAUUAGCUAGUUGGUGAGGUAACGGCUCACCAAGGCGACGAUGCGUAGCCGACCUGAGAGGGUGAUCGGCCACAUUGGGACUGAGACACGGCCCAGACUCCUACGGGAGGCAGCAGUGGGGAAUAUUGCACAAUGGGGGAAACCCUGAUGCAGCAACGCCGCGUGAGUGAUGACGGCCUUCGGGUUGUAAACCUCUGUCUUCGGGGACGAAACGAGACGGUACCCGAGGAGGAAGCCACGGCUAACUACGUGCCAGCAGCCGCGGUAAUACGUAGGUGGCAAGCGUUGUCCGGAAUUACUGGGUGUAAAGGGAGCGUAGGCGGGCAGGCAAGUCAGGCGUGAAAUAUAUCGGCUCAACCGGUAACGGCGCUUGAAACUGCAGGUCUUGAGUGAAGUAGAGGUUGGCGGAAUUCCUAGUGUAGCGGUGAAAUGCGUAGAUAUUAGGAGGAACACCAGUGGCGAAGGCGGCCAACUGGGCUUUUACUGACGCUGAGGCUCGAAAGUGUGGGGAGCAAACAGGAUUAGAUACCCUGGUAGUCCACACCGUAAACGAUGAUUACUAGGUGUGGGGGGACUGACCCCUUCCGUGCCGGAGUUAACACAAUAAGUAAUCCACCUGGGGAGUACGGCCGCAAGGUUGAAACUCAAAGGAAUUGACGGGGGCCCGCACAAGCAGUGGAGUAUGUGGUUUAAUUCGACGCAACGCGAAGAACCUUACCAGGUCUUGACAUCGUAUGCAUAGUGUAGAGAUACACGAAGUCCUUCGGGACAUACAGACAGGUGGUGCAUGGUUGUCGUCAGCUCGUGUCGUGAGAUGUUGGGUUAAGUCCCGCAACGAGCGCAACCCUUGUAUUUAGUUGCUACGCAAGAGCACUCUAGAUAGACUGCCGUGGACAACACGGAGGAAGGUGGGGAUGACGUCAAAUCAUCAUGCCCCUUAUGACCUGGGCUACACACGUACUACAAUGGCAAUAGAACAGAGGGAAGCGACUCAGCGAUGAGAAGCAGAUCCCGAAAAAUUGUCUCAGUUCGGAUUGCAGGCUGCAACCCGCCUGCAUGAAGUCGGAAUUGCUAGUAAUCGCGGAUCAGCAUGCCGCGGUGAAUACGUUCCCGAGCCUUGUACACACCGCCCGUCACACCAUGGGAGUCGGUAACACCC